rnacentral:lncRNA from 1 species
AAAAUAAAGUGGCUUAAACUGCAGCCAUGGUAAAAUGUUACAAUACUAGAACCCACAUGAUACUGAAAGUUUCUGUUGGCUUUAGCCCUACUGUCAGAGUCUGUUGAGCUAUGUGGUGAUCUUUACUGCAUUUGUGACAAAUGAAGGCAAGCAAGAUUGUUAGUGUCUACAAAAACUUUACAUAUACUUUGUAAUGGAUGUGCUGAAAAAGAUCUUAAUGUAUUAGUAUCAAGCUUAUGCAUACAUGUUGUUAAAGCUUGCUGAUUUUAUUCCAGCAGAAUUUCCUGGAAUCCUCUGGUGCUGUUUUCUUGUGUUGAAGUAGUGAAUGAUUUCCUGUGGUCAUGACAUGUAUACUGUGUCCCAGGCUGAUGGACUUCUGCUUGAGACUUUAUAAAGGAGCCAGAAAUGAAAGUGCUAACCACCUCACACAAACAUCUCAGAAGAUGACAGACAUGGGGGAUUUCCUGCAAAGAUAUCUUGAUCACACUUGAGCACCAUACCUGAAUUAAUUAUUUAGGAACCACCAAAUAGAUUAGAACCUGCUUCUUCUCACCUGAGAUUGCCUAAUUGAGUUUGUGGUGGCCAUGCACAAUCCACUUGUUAAAUACUUCAGCUGCUGAGGUGAGCUGAAACAUAGCCUUUUGCUGCUUAUGAGUUACCUGAACAGAUUAUUUCAAAGGUCCUCAUUCUGCUCCUGAAGUUUCAAAUAGUGCUAAGGAGAAAUUAAGUAAAGCACACUCCAGCACUGCUUAUGAGCUACACAGUAUCAGACAGGUUGUCAGAAUGCUUUUGCAGACACUUUCAAAGGGCUCUAGGGAAAAAAAAAAGUUAAGUCAAUAGUCUGCCAUACAGAAAAUUUCAUCAUAGUUAUUUCUCAAAUGUCAGGUAUGAAUUAGGUUUGAUUUAUUGGAUUGUGUUUUAGUGAAACAUCUAAAAAAACAGUAGAGUAGAUGUAUUUUCAGAGCCUGAGUACACAUGCCUUGACUAAGAGUUCAGGGAAGGAUAUUU